AAAGUACUCCCUCCGUUCCAAAUUACUCAUCGUAGAAAUGGAUGUAUCUAGAACUAAAAUAUAUCUAGAUAGAUCCAUAUCUGUGACAAGUAAUUCGGAACGGAGGGAGUAAUUG
rnacentral:pre_miRNA from 1 species